rnacentral:rRNA from 1 species
UUAUUGGAGAGUUUGAUCCUGGCUCAGGAUGACGCUGGCGGGUGCUAUACAGUCAAGUCGACGGAAUGGAUUAGGCUUUGCUCUUUGAAGUUAGCGGCGGACGGGUAGUAACACGUGGGUACCUCCCAUAAGACUGGGAAUACCUCCGGGAAACCGAGGCUAAUACCGGAUUAACAUUUUGAACCGCAUGGUUCGCCAUUGAAAGGCGGCUUCGGCUGUCCGACUUAUGGAUGGACGCACGCGUCGCAUUAGCUAGUUGGUGAGGUAACGGCUCACCAAGAACGAAUGCGUAGCCGACCUGAGAGGGUGAUCGGCACACUGGGACUGAGACGACGGCCCACUCCUACGGGAGGCAAGCAGUAAGGCGAAUCUUCCGCAAUGGACGAAAGUCUGACAGGAGCAACGCCCAGCGUGAGUGAUGAAGGCUUUCGGGUCGUAAAACUCUGUUGUUAGGCGAAGAACAAGUGCUUAGUUUGAAUUAAGCUAGCACCUUGACGGUACCGUAACCGAAAGCCACGGCUAACUACGCUGCAGCAGCAUGGCGGUAAUACGUAGGUGGCAAGCGUUAUCGGAUUAUUGGGCGUGUAAAGCGCGGCAAGGUGGUUCUUAAGUCUGAUGGAAGCCCACGGCUCACCGUGGAGGGUCAUUGGAAACUGUGGAGACUUGACGUGCAGAGAAGAGGAAAGUGGAAUUCCAUGUGUAAGCGGGGUGAAAUGCGUUAGAGAUAUGGAGGAACACCAAGUGGCUUGAAGGCGACUUUCUGUUCUGUAACUGACACUGAGGCCGCGAAAGCGUGGGGAAGCAAACAGGGAUUAGAUACCUGGUAGUCCACGCCGUAAACGAUGGUUGCUAAGUUGUUAGAGGGUUUCCGCCCCUUUAUGCUGAAGUUUAACGCAUUAAGCACUCGCCUGGGAGUACGGCCGCAAGGCUGAAACUCAAAGGAAUUGACGGCGGGCCCGCACAAGCGGCUGAGCAUGUGGUUUUAAUUUCGAAGCAACCGCGAAGGAAACCUUACCAGGUCUUGACAUCCUCUUGAAACCCUAGAGAUAGGGCUUCUCCUUCCGGGAGCAGGAGUGACAGGGUGGUGCUGGUUGUCGCAGCUUCGUGGUCGUGAGAUGUUGGGGUUAAGUCCCGCAACGAGCGCAACCCUUUGAUCUUAGUUGCCAAUCCAUUAAGUUGGGCACUCUAAGGUGACUGCCGGUGACAAAACCGGAGGAGGUGGGGAUGACGUCAAUCAUCAUGCCCCUUAUUGACCUGGGCCUACACACGUGCUACAUGACGGUACAAAGAGCUGCAAGACGCGAGGUGGAGCUAAUCUCAUAAACGGUUCUCAGGUUUCGGAAUUGUAGCGCUGCAACUCGCCUACAUUGAAAGCUGAAAUCGCUAGUUAAUCGCGGACAGCAUGCCGCGGUGAAUACGUUCCCGGCCUUGUACACACCGCCGUCACACCACGAGAGUUUUGAACACCGAAGUCGGGGGUAACCUUUUUGGAGCCAGCCGCCUAAGGGUGGCGACAGUGGGAUUGGGGUGAAGUCGUAACAAGGUAGCCGGUAUCGCGAAGGUGCGGCUGGAUUCACCUCCUUUCU